UUUUCACUGAGAGUAACUGUGCUGCUCCGGCAUGGAAGGGCUUCCCUGACUUGCCGACAGCAGUGGUGCUCUUAUCACUCUCUGGCCUGUGAAUGAUCCAUCUCCUGAUCCUCAUCCUGAAGAUCUGAAUUCUAAGUCAAUUCUGGUACCAAACAGAAAGCUGUAUGCAUGUGCUUUAUUUGUGGAAUCGAUCCUAGGAAACAGGAAUAUCUGCUUGUUCUGACAAGGAUUCUCAAGAGGACUCCACUUAAUUCAAAGGCUUCAGAAGCAAAGGAGGAGAAGAGGAGGCAAGCAGAUGAACAGUGCAGCAGAGAAAAAGAGAAGAGAAGGAAUGUCUGAACGACAAGAGGAAUUCAGCUGGGGGGCAGUCAGAGAGGAAUUCAGCUGCUGGACAGCCAAACUCCAGGGGAAGAUCACCUUCCCACUCCAUCCCCCUUUCAGCUCCCCAUCCAUCCCACUGAGAGCCACCUCCAC